CUUUAGCCUCUCUCUUUUUUUUUUUUGUUCAUCUCCUAUGAUUUAGGUGUGGAAAGGAAGUAGAUAUUCUCAAAACUAUGCCUCUGAUUUUAAAGAUUUAUUCUUGUUGGGUUUAUUCACAGGGGUAAAAGCAGCAGCCUGUUGUUUUUCUUCUUCUGUUAUGCAGGAAAGCUCUAAUCUUCUUAUCUUAAACAUGAAAUCAAUGAAAGGCAAGGAGUGUGCUAGUGCUUUACCGAUUCUAUUUAGGAUUUAGUAUGCUAUUUAAGAUUUCUAUGUUGAGGUGCUCUGUUCUCGCUUGUAUUUGUUCUUCUUACUGAUUCCGAGUUGUGGAUUUGUAAGUGACCUCUUUGUGCUUAAGCAUGGUUGUGUGGUGAUUUUCUACAUGGAUGAAAAAGGAGUCAUAAGGGAAGUUGUGUGUUACCUCUUAUGAUAGUGAAGAAAAUGGGGCUGCCCUUGUUGUUACUCUCGGUUAUGUGCCACUCUUUACUCUCUAUCUUGCUGAAAAUUUGAUGGUAUGCAGAAGGAAGUUGAAUGUGUUGUGGAGGGGAUUUUAUAGAUUGGUUGUGGUGUACUAUGGGGGAAUUAAAUGGGGCUGAUCUCUCUUGUCUUCAUAUCACAACAUAUCUCUCUUUUUCUGAUCAUGCAGCCCCUUUGUCUUAAUGUAGUUUGUUGGCUAGUUUGGGUACUUGGUACUUGGUGAAUAAAUCCCAUUGUUUGAUUGUGGCUAGAUAUAACAGGUGUUGCGUUAGUGAAGGGCUUUGCAGGCUGGACUUGCCCCCUUUUUGGGUAAGUCCUUGGUCUUCAUAGGAAAAGAAAGGUGAGAGAGGAAUCUUAGCUCCCACCUAGCUGCACUUCGAGCGGGCCUGGAUUUGAUGUCUGGGCCGACGGGCUGCCCGAAACGGGCCCUAAAUUGGGCCUGGAGAAAAGGCCCGAAAUGCACUCCACAUUUUAUAUUUUCCUUUCCUUGUUUUCUUUCUUUAAGGACUUUGAUCCAUGUAAUCUAUUUUAUUAGUUGUUCAUUUUAUUGGACACGAAAAUACCAUUCGAAACACUUUAUUUUUCCGAAGUGUAUCUUUAGUCUGUUUU